GAUGAACGCUAGCGGCAGGCUUAAUACAUGCAAGUCGAGGGGCAGCAUAAGUAGCAAUACUUGAUGGCGACCGGCAAACGGGUGCGGAACACGUACGCAACCUUCCUUUAAGUGGGGAAUAGCCCGGGGAAACCCGGAUUAAUACCCCGUAAUAUUAUGAUGUGGCAUCACUUUAUAAUUAUAGAUUCAUCGCUUAAAGAAUGGGCGUGCGCCUGAUUAGGUAGUUGG
rnacentral:rRNA from 1 species